UACGAGUGCCUCAAGCGUUAUCCGGAAUCAUUGGGCGUAAAGGGUGUGUAGGCGGCUUUGUUAGUCUUCUGUUAAAUUCUUCGGCUCAACCGGGGUCAUGCAGAGGAAACGGCAAAGCUCGAGAAUGCGAGAGGUUUGCGGAACUCAUGGAGUAGCGGUGAAAUGCGUUGAUAUCAUGGGGAACACCGAAUGCGAAGGCAGCAAACUGGCGCACUUCUGACGCUGAGACACGAAAGCGUGGGUAGCGAAU
rnacentral:rRNA from 1 species